UGGUGGAGGGAUGUCCAGGCCGCUCAGGAGCCGCGCCCCUCUCCGGCCAGGCCCAGAGAGCACGGGGGCCCCCACAGGAGCCAGAGGGGAGGCCGCCAGGGCAGUUGUGAGGGGGCCUGUGGGGGAACCUGUGAGACAGCCUGUGAAGAGACUCACUAGGGCUUCUGUGCGGGGGCCCAGGAACGUGCCCCAGGUGGAACCCACAGGGCAUCUGGGAAGAGACCCACGAAGGCGGUGCAGGGGCCGGGAAGAGGCCCCGGAGGGGCCCUCACGGGGAGCUGCGGUAGGGAGCCUGACGCAGGCCCGUGCAGCCCCCAGGGAGGUGCGGGAGACGCGGCGGCGGCACGAGCGGCGCCUGGUGGAGGUGGACAGCAGCCGGCAGCAGGAGUACGACUUCAAGAUGGCACAGGCGCUGGAGGAGCUGCGGAGCCAGCACGACGAGCAAGUGCGGCUCUACAAGCUGGAGCUGGAGCAGACCUACCAGGCCA
rnacentral:sRNA from 1 species